CUGGAUGCAGCUGCCACCGUCCCCUUGUCUUCCUUGACUUCUCACGUGAUUAAAUUUUAAUUCAAGUCUAUGACCAGGAUUCAGUGGGGACUUUGCUCAGAGCCCAGAGAUCCAGUUAAAAGAUAGAGGCUAAAUUUAAAACCACCUAUCUAAAUAAAAUUGGUCUUCUUA